rnacentral:lncRNA from 1 species
ACAGGGCAUACCUAUGUCCAAUUUGUAUGUAUGGAGCAUAAAUGAAUGCUUAAUUGUAAAUGUACAAUCUAUUACAAAUUUUGAAUAAAGGAGUGAAUUUGUGGCAUCAACUUUGCAAUAAUUUGACCAUGUAGUUUCACCUUACUACAUCUAUUACUGAUCUAUUACAUGAUUUUUUUGGCAAUACUAUAACAUAAUUACAUAGCAUGAUAAAAGUGAUCAAGAUGUAAUCAGAUUACAAGUGGUCAUAUUUAGCAUUUUUAGAUCCAAAAAUUGCUCCCUAUUCUUAAGUAAGAUUGGCUCUAUAUUUUAGUACUAUCUUUAAUCCAGAAGUAUCAUCAUUUUACAUUUUGUAGAUAUUUGUGAAGCUUUUUUUUUUUUUUUUUUUUUUUUCUCAUUAUUAUUAUUAUUUUGACUGCAAUUGGAUACCUUAAUUAGUUGUUUUUAGGAUUUUCAUGU